rnacentral:misc_RNA from 1 species
GAAAUGCGAUAAGUAAUGUGAAUUGCAGAAUUCAGUGAAUCAUCGAAUCUUUGAACGCACAUUGCGCCCGCCAGCACUCUGGCGGGCAUGCCUGUUCGAGCGUCAUUUCAACCAUCAAGCCCCCGGGCUUGCGUUGGGGACCUGCGGCUGCCCGCAGGCCCUGAAAACCAGGGGCUGGCUCGCUGUCACCCCGGUCGUAGUAGUAUCAUCUCGUCCAGAGCAUGGCUGUGGCCUCCGGCCGUUAAACAUUCUCACACCCAAACGUUGACCUCGGAUCAGGUAGGACUACCCGCUGAACUUAA